GCAGAAGAGCUUAGCCGAGAGUCUGGGCUGUGUGAUCUCCUGAGGUCCUGAACCCUGCUGAGCCUCAGUUUCCACAUCCAUAAAUGGCAGCACUGCUAUCAGCAGCCUCACGGGAUGGUCUGUGGAUCGCGUGGGCCACACACGGGCUCUUGCUGUGGGCCCAGCAGAGGCAGACUCUGUGGGCGGUACCUGUUGUCCAUGCCUGACUCGCUGAGGACUCGUGUCUGGCUGAGCCGGGCAGCCAGCUGAGAAGCAUGGGUCCCGGUCCCCCCACUCCAAACAGGUGGAGCAGAAGGAGCCCAGCUGCGACCUGGGGUUUGUGGGCAGACACGUGCCCCAGAGAGGACCCACAAUGGAAGAUGACAUGACCAGAAGAAUAAAGAGCACCUGUAGCAGUCAUCCUCGUUCUAGAGUGUGGGACUAACGCAGAACUCCAGCUGGGAACCGCUGUGGCCCAGACCCUGGGAGGCCUUCUUGAUGCCCGUCUUUCUCUUACCAUCCAGUCUAUGGACCUCCUGAUGGCUCGGCCUCCAACAGG